AAGCCCCCCUCAAGAUGAGAUUUCCGAUGCGCAAGCAAUAAGACACCUCAGAGACGAUGAGGUAGAUAGGCUGGGAGUGGAAGUCCUGUGAAGGAUGGAGCGGACCAGUACUAAUCAGUCGAAGACUUGACCAA
rnacentral:rRNA from 1 species